rnacentral:lncRNA from 1 species
AUAGUUUUUUCUUUUCCUUUGUGCCAUAUCUUUAGCUAAGUCAACACCGAUUCAAGGAUUUGUAGGUCUUUGGGGACAACUUCCUUCCAUGGGAUUUUACCUCUACCCCAUCCUAUUUUCAUACCUUCCACUACUACGGUUUCACACGUAUGGACCGGGAAUUCUAUAGGUCGACACAGGACAUGAACAAACCAUCUCAAGUGGCAUUUUUCUUAUUUUAUCCUCAAUGUGUGCUACUUUCACCUUCUGACAAAUGUGGUCAUUUUUAAUCUUAUCCAAUCUUGUGUGACCACACAUCUGUCUUAGCAUUCGUAUUUCUUUAAUACUCAUCUUGUACAAAUGCUUGAACUUUAGCAGCCCCACAUUCGUUACCAUACAACAUAGUAGGUCUAAUAGUUGCUUUAUAGAGCUUACAUUUCACCUUGGUAGGCAUCUUUCGAUUACAUAACACGCUUGUAGCACUUCUCCAUUUCAACCAUUUGAUUAUAAUAACAGCUUCAUCUAUUUGUUCUAUUCUCUUGAAAUAACGAGCCUAAGUAUCUUAAAAAUGUGGCACUACAGUUGUAUCUAGUCUCACCUCAACUUCGCUCUUUUCAUGCUACCUAAAAUUACAGUGCAUAUACUCAGUCUUACAUCUACUUAGCUUAAAACCCUUAUUCUCUAAGGUGUUUCCCAUAGCUCAAGAUUUCGGUUGACACCCUCGCUACUUUUGGCAAUUUUUAUAAGAUAAUCAGCAAAUAGCAUGUCCCAUGGGAUCUCAUCUUGUAUUUUGUUGGCUAACUCAUCCAUAACUAGGGUAAAUAGGUAGGGGCUCAAUACAGAGCUUUGGUGUAAACCCAUUGUUAUGGGAACUCUUUUGUAUCCUUUACUACUACUUUGACUCUAGCGACAGCUCCUUCAUAUAUGACAUUUGUAUAUUUAAUAUGAAUUUAUUUCUUCUCCUUCAUCCAUCAAAUAACCUUAUGAGGUACUCAAUCAUAUGCUUUUCUAAGUCAAUGAACACCAUGUGUAGAUCUUUCUUCCUUUCACGUUAAAUUUCCAUCAAACUUAGCACUUUUGUUGCGUUCCUACAUCUAGGCUCUAUUACUCUUUGGUCUUUCUCGGAGUUCCAUUAUAUGACUCCUUGAGUUUAAUGCCAACUCAUUUAGCACAACUCAUCAUCAUUAUUAUUACCAAAAUAAAAUAAAAGUAUAAGUAAAAAACGAUAAAUGUGUAUAAAUAAUAGCAAUAAGAAUAAUGAUAAUAUACACUCUUUGUCAAGUCUAAAACCUAUUCCCAACUAGUAUGUAUCGCCUAUAUAGUUUUUUCUUUUCCUUUGUGCCAUAUCUUUAGCUAAGUCAACACCGAUUCAAGGAUUUGUAGGUCUUUGGGGACAACUUCCUUCCAUGGGAUUUUACCUCUACCCCAUCCUAUUUUCAUACCUUCCACUACUACGGUUUCACACGUAUGGACCGGGAAUUCUAUAGGUCGACACAGGACAUGAACAAACCAUCUCAAGUGGCAUUUUUCUUAUUUUAUCCUCAAUGUGUGCUACUUUCACCUUCUGACAAAUGUGGUCAUUUUUAAUCUUAUCCAAUCUUGUGUGACCACACAUCGAUAAUUCGCACAACUUUGAAUAUCUCCUUUUUCCUUCUUUUACUUUCCAUCUCCAUACAUUCUCUUGGGAAAUGACCUUCCUUUGAGUGUUGUGAUUAGAGCUAAUGGUUUUGGCAUGUUGUCAAUUGGGUGUCAUUAUAUUCUUUCAUGUUUUCAGCUGUUUGAGCAAGUAUUGCCCUUCUCUCUCCUCUUUUCUUCCUGUAAGUAAUCAGGAAAUAUGGGAAUAG